rnacentral:rRNA from 1 species
CACGUAGGGUGCGAGCGUUGUCCGGAAUUAUUGGGCGGAAAGAGCUCGUAGGCGGUGUGUCGCGUCGGCCGUGAAAACCUGCAGCUUAACUGUGGGCUUGCGGUCGAUACGGGCAUCACUGGAGUUCGGCAGGGGAGACUGGAAUUCCUGGUGUAGCGGUGAAAUGCGCAGAUAUCAGGAGGAACACCGGUGGCGAAGGCGGGUCUCUGGGCCGAUACUGACGCUGAGGGGCGAAAGCGUGGGGAGCGAACAGG